rnacentral:rRNA from 1 species
CCUACGGGUGGCUGCAGUGGGGAAUAUUGCACAAUGGGCGCAAGCCUGAUGCAGCCAUGCCGCGUGUGUGAAGAAGGCCUUUGGGUUGUAAAGCACUUUCAGCGGGGAGGAAGGCGGUGAGGUUAAUAACCUCAUCGAUUGACGUUACCCGCAGAAGAAGCACCGGCUAACUCCGUGCCAGCAGCCGCGGUAAUACGGAGGGUGCAAGCGUUAAUCGGAAUUACUGGGCGUAAAGCGCACGCAGGCGGUCUGUCAAGUCGGAUGUGAAAUCCCCGGGCUCAACCUGGGAACUGCAUUCGAAACUGGCAGGCUAGAGUCUUGUAGAGGGGGGUAGAAUUCCAGGUGUAGCGGUGAAAUGCGUAGAGAUCUGGAGGAAUACCGGUGGCGAAGGCGGCCCCCUGGACAAAGACUGACGCUCAGGUGCGAAAGCGUGGGGAGCAAACAGGAUUAGAUACCCCAGUAGUC